ACAAAAACAAACAAAAUGAAAUGUAAGUAACAAACUCCAAUCUAAUGAAACGGGAAAAUGACAAUGAGUUACAAUACAAUAAUUCAUGCACAAAGAGAAUAGAAAUAACUCAAAAAUGAAGCAAUGGAUCCAGAUUAUCCUAAUUAAAUUCCUCACACCAUAUGUUCAGAUUGAAUCAUCAUCACAUCCAUUUACGAACAUAAACGGGACAACGACUUUACCGACACAAAGAUAAAAAUUUACGCAUUACAUACUAAAACAACACGAUGCCUAAGAGUAAUCAAAGUAAAAAAAAAAGUCUCCAAUUAACCUCGAGACAAUGCUAAUGACCACAAAACAAAACGCUUGCACUUAACGGCCUCACGAACGGCAGACAUAAUCCGCUUGAACUUUUUCUUCCGGUGGAGAUGUGUUAUUCUGGAAGCGACAGAAUAAUGAAAGUUCGCGAACAUUUUAUGUGGUGGUCGAAAGUAAGAUUGACGGCGGUGUUAUGACGAUGUCGGAGGGCUUUUGCGGGUGAAGGGUGUUGUAGACGCAAGUCGAGGGUGUUGAGGCGAUGAUGUGCGGAGAACGAUUGAUGGGGAGGUCGAAACGGGAAAACGAUGGAGGGAGUAUGAAUCAAAAGCGGCGGCGGAAAAUUGUUGGUCUGGGAAACGCUAGUGAUUGUUACAAGGCCACAUCCGAAAUCAUUAUUGGUGUUGUUCUGGGAAGACGGAGGAUGACGAUGGUGAAGCAAUACACACAGAUCUGGUCCUCGCCGACGUCGGUAACAGAUGGGUUUUGUGUUGGUUGAUGAUGAUGAACGAAGAACAGGGUGAGGUUUUGUAUAAGUUGUAAUGAAGAGAGAAAAAUUUCAAACGUUUAUAUCCCCUGCCCCCUAUCGUGAAUCCUCCUGCUCAAAAAAUAAAAAGAUCCCUUUUGUUUGGUUUUUU
rnacentral:lncRNA from 1 species